GAUCAUCUGAAUGCAGUGGUGUUUAGAAUUAAUUGAGAACUACCAGUUACAGAUUUAUUUGUUCCUUCUCCGCCUCCACUGUUUCACUUGACUAGCCAAAA
ensembl:Y_RNA Y_RNA Y RNA